rnacentral:rRNA from 1 species
AGAGUUUGAUCAUGGCUCAGAACGAACGCUGGCGGCAGGCCUAACACAUGCAAGUCGAACGUGAAGCCACCUUCGGGUGGUGGAAAGUGGCAGACGGGUGAGUAACGCGUGGGAACGUGCCUUUCGGUUCGGGAUAACCCAGGGAAACUUGGGCUAAUACCGGAUACGCCCUUCGGGGGAAAGAUUCAUUGCCGAAAGAUCGGCCCGCGUCGGAUUAGCUAGUUGGUGGGGUAAAAGCCUACCAAGGCGACGAUCCGUAGCUGGUCUGAGGGGAUGACCAGCCACACUGGGACUGAGACACGGCCCAGACUCCUACGGGAGGCAGCAGUGGGGAAUAUUGGACAAUGGGCGCAGGCCUGAUCCAGCCAUGCCGCGUGGGUGAAGGAGGCCCUAGGGUUGUAAACCCCUUUCAGCGGGGAAGAUAAUGACGGUACCCGCAGAAGAAGCCCCGGCUAACUCCGUGCCAGCAGCCGCGGUAAUACGGAGGGGGCUAGCGUUGUUCGGAAUUACUGGGCGUAAAGCGCGCGUAGGCGGACCUGCAAGUCGGGGGUGAAAGCCCGAGGCUCAACCUCGGAACUGCCUUCGAUACUGCGGGUCUCGAGUCCAGGAGAGGUGAGUGGAAUUCCUAGUGUAGA